rnacentral:piRNA from 1 species
UCUUUAUAUAGAACAGAAAGUAUAUGGUA